rnacentral:lncRNA from 1 species
AUCCAUCAUCAAACAUAAGCACCGCAGGGAAAAGCAAGCCGGACCUCCCCGCUGGAGAGCUAGCCCUGAUGCUUAGACUCUGGGCCUCCCAACUCCUUUCUUUACUCUCUAACACACGCUGUAUCCCUGCUCAGUACAUAAACAUGGUUGCUUUGGAAUAGGUCAGCAUUUGCAGAAGGAAGCACCGGAAACGCACCUUGCCCUCCACUCCCCAUCACCCACGAACCCCCAACCUCACCCACUACCCCACCUCCACCCUCAUCCCCAACCCCUCCCACACCACCCCUCCAGAGGCUGCUUUCUCUUGGUUUGUUGUUAGAACCACGAAUCAGCUUCAGGUGGAGGUGGGGGAGGGCUUCCUGCAGUGGAAGAAAGUGGGGAUCUCCACGCUGCCUUCUUUCUGUUCUGACUUGGACACCUUAAAGCCUUCCCAGUGGGGCCACAUGUCUGCAACUUCCUUUCUGUCACUGGCCAGGUGCUAGGGGAAAACAUGGCAAGCAAAUCCAGCUUGUCUCUUCCUGGGACUGUGUGGGCCUUUCUCCAGCUCAUUCCCUUACCUCGGGCACACCAGCUGGGCCGGCCUGGCCAGCCUCCAAGUGAACGCUUAGUUUCAGGCAGAUUGUCCUGGCUGGCCGUCAGCAAUCUUUUCUCUACCAGAAUUAAUUCAUCUAAAAACACACUACCCUUCCCCCACACUGGGUGAUCUUCCAGCCACUUUUGCUGUGCACCCAUACCCGAAGCAUCAAUUUACAGAAAGAUGAAAACACAGUCCUUUCCAGUCACCCGGUCUUUGCUGGGAUUCUGAGCCCAGGCUUCCUCUAUCAAGGGCUGGUGAAGCACAACUAACUUUGCCCACAGAGGAGCACAAAGAUGACGCUGUGAGUUGCCAAGGAAAGGUUUGUGUGCCAUGGGAGCUAUUACAUAUGCAGCUCCAGGCCAUUAGCAACCAACCGUGGAUGGCCCAGACCCAAGGCUGGUGGGUCAGCCCUGGGAGAGACCAGUUCGUGUGGCUCCUUGCCUGCAGCCCAGGGCCUCCAUAGCUGUCUAAAGGCGUCAGAAGCCACAGGUCUUCUCCUGGCUUCUGAUGGUCAUGUGGAGUAUCCCAGGUACCCCAUCUAAACAAACACACAACACCUCAAGAAGACACUCAGUGCUUAUAGAUCUCAGAAUUCCUGCAGUGUUGCCUUCGCCUUCCUACUGAGCCAAACUAGGAACAACGGCAGGCUGUUGCUAGUGUACACUAUACUAUGGGUAAGCCAUCCCAGGCACAGAUUUGAAAGGUGGUUCCUAGAAAUCUCCAAAAUAAAGGCUAGGGAAUGUGUCCUUCUCCUCCAACUACGGUGCUCCCAAGAUGACUUUUCUCUCCAAACUAAUAAGUGAAGAACAGAAGACAAAGGAGCAAGCUAAGACCAAACAAAAGAGUGUGCGUUUGAGUGCUAUUGCUCUCUUCUUUAGUCUUGAGUGAAUCCUAUAUUGCUCUCUUCUUUAGUCUUGAGUGAAUCCUCGUCAGUUUCCUCAACACACAGGUUCAGAGACGCAUCAUGACCUUCUCAAGGUCAAGCAUCAGACCACGACUAAAACUCAGCUCCACCAACUUAGACUUAGUGUUCUUAAUAUAGAAAGACGAACACCCCCCCCCCACCCCCGGUGUUCAGCAGGGUCUUGCUUCAGCAGUGGAUUGGAGACUUGAGAAUCGACAGGGUCUUCAUCCUGGAUGAUGGGGGAGUAUCCAUAGGGAAAGGCUGGAGUGGAAGCCACUUUCAGUGACUUCUUGGCAAUGUGCAGUAAGCUGGUCCCAGGGAGGUGGGAGGGAAGAGGCACAUGGAGGUCUCAGUAGCCUGGUGUCUGUCUCUUUCACCCACUCUCAGGCAGGUCUCUUGCUCCAAGAUUCUGAACCCAGACACUCAACGGUACUCUUUGAGGAAUGUAUAUGUUUUAGUAGAGGGUCUAGACAGACAGUAGCGCUUAAGAGAGAUGAGUUGCCUGUAUUUGAGUUGGCAAUUGUGAGCUGUUUGUUCAGAAGGUGUUUAAAGGGAAACAUGUCUCCUUGUGAGUCUGAGCCAAAUGAAUGACUGCUGGAGGUUUAGCAGUACAAUGAAGAUUGUUCAGUCAGUCUGCACAUGGACCCUGGGAUAGAGCUAACACUCCUGCAGCUACUGGGGACAUUGAGGAAUGGAUCAGGAUAGUUGUCACAGUAGAGCUUGUGGCUGCCACUGACUGGAAGUUUCCCCUAUGACCCAGGGGGAUGCAUACUCGGAACAUGUUACCCCAUGUAACCCUCAAAAGAACCACAUGAAGCUGCUGUGUGUGUGUGUGUGUGUGUGUGUGUUGUCCCUAUGUAACCGAUAGCAAACAGCAAAACUGGUCCCACACUCUGGGCUUUUAACCAACCCCACCCACGUCAUUCCUAUGAACUCAUGUUGCAGAGUCUCAGAAGGACCCAGUGUGGACAGCAUGGAAACCCCGCUGUAGUAUCUCAGUACUAAAUGUAUCUUUCCGCUUCUGUUCUUCCAGCCCAAUGGCCAACUUGUAUUCAGAUUGUUACAUUUUUAGAAUUUUGUAGGCCAGUUAUUACAACCAUUAUUAAAAAUUAACUUAUAUAUAAUCUUACAGCUAAAUAAAUUCUAUUUAAGACAAGG